rnacentral:lncRNA from 1 species
GGCCUUCGGGGCCGCAUUUGCUCCCCGAGGGUUCUGGGCAGCCUCUGACCCUGACCCCCCAUCCCAGGCCGGGAAGCAGGUGGAGGAGACAGCGGUGGCGGCGGCAGUGCCCCCAAGGGGUCGUGUGGUGACCAUGGCCGAGCCGGGCGCAGCCUCCCCACCCCCACCCGCUCGGUUCCCCAAGGCGGUCGACUCGGGCUGGGAUGGCCCGACGCCGUCCUACCAGCCGCUUGUGCCCCAGACGGCGGCGCCGCACACCGGCUUCACCGAAUACUUCAGCAUGCACACAGCCGGGGGCCCUGCACCCCCGGUCUGAGCAUCCCUUUCCCGCCUCUGCCCCACAGGCGGCGCACCGGGCCCCGGCUGGGCUCCGGAACCCCUUCUCUCUCCUGGCCCAAGGGCUCGGCCUUGCCAGGCACCCCCACCCCACACACACACCCCGCGCCCACGUUGGGUGCGCUGCGUCCUGCCCCUUUCCCUCUUGUGCCAAACGGUCCCGCGGGAGCCGUUCUCCGCGUCCCCUCCCUCAGCCCCUGCCCCGAACGGCUCCGGAAUCUGGACUCCCGCUGUUCCGUGAUCUCCGCCCCCCUGACCCCCUCCGAGACCUCUGACCCUGCUGGACUCCGGAACAUCCGUGACGACCGCCUGGACCCUGCCUGUGACCCUCCAGGACCCUGCGACCCUCGAGCCACUGUUCAGGGACGGAUAUUGUGAAGUUGGUCUCUACUUUGAAACCCUCUCUGGGGUUUGUGACCUCGGACCUGUGCUUUGUCCGUCCAUCUGCAUGCCAAGGACCUUCACAUGGUCUCUGGCAGAAAGACGUUUUCUCUUCUUGCCAAAAUAAAGAGGAUUCGUUGAGUUUUUAAUCU